AUACGAAGGGGGCUAGCGUUGUUGGGAAUCACUGGGCGUAAAGCGCGCGUAGGUGGAUCAAUUAGUUGAGGGUGAAAUCCCGGGGCUCAACCUCGGAACUGCCUUCAAUACUGUUGAUCUUGAGACCGAGAGAGGUGAGUGGAAUUCCUAGUGUAGAGGUGAAAUUCGUAGAUAUUUGGAAGAACACCAGUGGCGAAGGCGGCUCACUGGCUCGGUACUGACGCUGAGGUGCGAAAGCGUGGGGAGCAAACAGGAUUAGAAACCCCAGUAGUCC
rnacentral:rRNA from 1 species